UCCGUAGGUGAACCUGCGGAAGGAUCAUUACCUUUGGUUGUGGAUUGUGGUUUACCAUGAUCCUACAGCUUCAACCCUUGAUUUUUGAGUACCUUUGUUUCCUUGGUAGGGCGACCUGCCAUAGGACCUUUUCAAACCACCUUGUAUUGAAAUCAGCGUCUGAAACCUUGAAUUAUUACAACUUUCAACAACGGAUCUCUUGGUUCUGGCAUCGAUGAAGAACGCAGCAAAAUGCGAUAAGUAGUGUGAAUUGCAGAAUUCAGUGAAUCAUCGAAUCUUUGAACGCACAUUGCGCCCCUUGGUAUUCCAUGGGGCAUGCCUGUUCGAGCGUCAUAUGUAAACUCAAGCUCUGCUUGGUGUUGGGCGUUUGUCUUUUACGACUCGCCUUAAAGCUAUUGGCUUUUGGUACUAAUAGACCGAGCGCAGUACAACUCGCGCUUUGAUAUUGGUUGCCUUGGCCACAAAUCUACAAUUUGACCUCGGAUCAGGUAGGGAUACCCGCUGAACUUAA
rnacentral:rRNA from 1 species